rnacentral:rRNA from 1 species
AUUGAACGCUGGCGGCAUGCCUUACACAUGCAAGUCGGACGGCAGCAUGGGUGCUUGCACCUGAUGGCGAGUGGCGAACGGGUGAGUAAUACAUCGGAACGUACCCGGAAGUGGGGGAUAACGUAGCGAAAGUUACGCUAAUACCGCAUAUUCUGUGAGCAGGAAAGAGGGGGAUCGCAAGACCUCUCGCUUUCGGAGCGGCCGAUGUCGGAUUAGCUAGUGGGCGGGGUAAAGGCCCACCAAGGCAACGAUCCGUAGCGGGUCUGAGAGGAUGAUCCGCCACACUGGGACUGAGACACGGCCCAGACUCCUACGGGAGGCAGCAGUGGGGAAUUUUGGACAAUGGGGGCAACCCUGAUCCAGCCAUGCCGCGUGAGUGAAGAAGGCCUUCGGGUUGUAAAGCUCUUUCGGCCGGGAAGAAAUCGCACAGGCUAAUACCUUGUGUGGAUGACGGUACCGGAAUAAGAAGCACCGGCUAACUACGUGCCAGCAGCCGCGGUAACAC